UUUUUUUUUUUUAGGUGAAGUCUCACUUUGUCACCCAUACUGGAGUGCAGUCUCAGCUCACUGCAACCUCCCCCUCCCAGAUUCAAGCAGUUAUCCUGCCUCAGCCUCCCAGGUAUCUGGGACUACAGGAGCAUGCCACCAUGCCCAGCUAAUUUUUGUAUUUUUAGUAGAGAUGGGGUUUCACCAUGUUGGCCAGGUUGGUCUUGAACUCCUGAUCUCAAGUGAUCUGCCUGCCUCAGCCUCCCAAAGUGCUGGGAUUACAGGCAUGAGCCACCACACCCAGCCGGAUGUACUCUCUUCUAUAUGGCUUUUCACUUAGCACAAUUAUUUAGAGACUCACUCACGUGUACCAGUAGUUCCUUUUUAUUGCCGAGUAUUGCACUGGACGGUGUGCCACAAUUUAUCCAUUCAUCUGUUGAUGGAUGUUUGAGUUGUUUCCAGUUUUUGGCUAUUACAAAUAAAGCUGCUAUGAAAAUUCAUGUAUAAGUUUUUGCAUGGACAUAUAUUUCCUUUUCUCUUGGGUAAAUACCUAGGAAUGGAAUGUGGGGAUCAUAAGGUAGAUGUAUUUUUAAUGUCUUAAGAAACUGUCAAACUGUUUUCCAAAGUGGUGGUGCAGUUUUACAUCCCCAUCAGCAGUGUUUGGGAGUUCUUGUUGCUUUACAUAUUCAACAGCACAUAGCAUGGUGAGUUUUUUAAACAUUAGCCAUUCUUCUGGGUGUGUAGCAAUAUCUCUCUGGCUUUAACUUGGGCAUUUCCCUAAUGACUAAUGAUGUUGAACAUGUUUUAAUGUGCAUGUUUGCCAUCUGUAUCUUCUCAAGUCUGUUCAAAUUUUUUCCCCAUGUCUUAUUAUUGAGCUUUGCAAAUUCUUUAUUUUUUGAGACAGAGUUUUGCUCUUGUUGCCCAGGCUGGAGUGCAAUGGCACGAUCUCGGCUCACCGCAACCUCCGCCUCCUGGGUUCAAGCGAUUCUCCUGCCUCAGCCUUCCUGAGUAGCUGGGGUUACAGAGCUCUCAAUCCAGCAGCUCAGAGUAAACCCUCCUGAUGUGAAACCAAAAGUUUCUCCAAGAGAACCUGUCCAGCCUGGAGCAAAGUUCUAGAAGUAUGGACACUGGGGAUUUCCCCAAAGAAGCUCAAUGAGAUCACCUUACAAUCACAUAUUCUUUUUAAUACUCCACUCUUAAAUAUAAGCAAGAUUACCAACGAUUGCCAGGCAGCUAAAGAAAGUCUGUAACAUGAAAGAUUAAAUUGAAGAACAGAAAGCAGAAAGACAUAUGCAGGGAGAUGAAAGCUUCUACAGAGCAUAUUAAUAUCCUCAAAGAUGUUGCAACAAGGAACAAGGUACUGUCCCUAUAUAUCUACGUAUAUAAAGGAACAAUCAGAGAAUCAA